UGGGGUGUAGCUCAGUGGUACAGUGCUUGCCUAACAAAUGCAAGGCCCUGGGUUUGAUUCCCAGCAUUGCAA
rnacentral:tRNA from 1 species